rnacentral:miRNA from 1 species
AUUUUAGUAAAAGUAUGUCUCAUGUAAUUUUUCAAACAUGCUUAUACUAAAA